GACGAACGCUGGCGGCGUGCUUAACACAUGCAAGUCGAGCGGUAAGGCCCUUUCGGGGGUACACGAGCGGCGAACGGGUGAGUAACACGUGGGUGACCUGCCCUCAGCUCUGGGAUAAGCCCGGGAAACUGGGUCUAAUACCGGAUAUGACUCCAUGACGCAUGUUGUGGGGUGGAAAGCCUUGUGCGGCUGAGGAUGGGCCCGCGGCCUAUCAGCUUGUUGGUGGGGUGAUGGCCUACCAAGGCGACGACGGGUAGCCGGCCUGAGAGGGCGACCGGCCACACUGGGACUGAGACACGGCCCAGACUCCUACGGGAGGCAGCAGUGGGGAAUCUUGCGCAAUGGGGCGAAAGCCUGACGCAGCGACGCCGCGUGAGGGAUGACGGCCU
rnacentral:rRNA from 1 species